rnacentral:rRNA from 1 species
GACGAACCGUGCGAACGUUGUUCGGAAUCACUGGGCUUAAAGAGCGCGCAGGCGGUCGUCCAAGUCGCGUGUGAAAGCCCCCGGCUCAACUGGGGAGGGUCACGCGAUACUGGUCGACUCGAAGGCAGGAGAGGGUAGUGGAAUUCCCGGUGUAGUGGUGAAAUGCGUAGAUAUCGGGAGGAACACCAGUGGCGAAGGCGACUUCCUGGCCUGUUCUUGACGCUGAGGCGCGAAAGCUAGGGGAGCAAACAGG